GGAUUGCCUUAGUAACGGCGAGUGAAGCGGCAACAGCUCAAAUUUGAAAUCUGGCUCCGCCCGAGUUGUAAUUUGCAGAGGGUGCCUUGGAGUUGUCCCGGCCUAAGUUCCUUGGAACAGGACGUCGCAGAGGGUGAGAAUCCCGUACGCGGCUGAUGGACCUCUCCGUGUAAGGCCCCUUCGACGAGUCGAGUUGUUUGGGAAUGCAGCUCUAAAUUGGAGGUAAAUUUCUUCUAAAGCUAAAUACCGGCCAGAGACCGAUAGCGCACAAGUAGAGUGAUCGAAAGAUGAAAAGCACUUUGAAAAGAGAGUUAAAAAGUACGUGAAAUUGUUGAAAGGGAAGCGUUUGUAGCCAGACCUGACGGUAGUUGCUCAACCGGUCUCUGCCCGGUGCACUCUUCUACCGACAGGCCAGCGUCAGUUCGGGUGGCCGGACAAAGGCGUGGGGAAUGUGGCUCCUCGGAGUGUUAUAGCCCCUCGCACAAUGCGGCCCAUCCGGACUGAGGACUGCGAUCCAAGGACGCUGGCUUAAUGGCUGCCAACGGCCCGUCUUGAAACACGGACCAAGGAGUCUAACAUCUGUGCGAGUGUUUGGGUGUCAAACCCGUGCGCGUAAUGAAAGUGAANGGAGGUGGGAGCUUCGGCGCACCAUCGACCGAUCCUGAUGUCUUCGGAAGGAUUUGAGUAAGAGCAUAGCUGUUGGGACCCGAAAGAUGGUGAACUAUGCCUGAAUAGGGUGAAGCCAGAGGAAACUCUGGUGGAGGCUCGCAGCGGUUCUGACGUGCAAAUCGAUCGUCAAAUUUGGGUAUAGGGGCGAAAGACUAAUCGAACCAUUGACACCAGCCUUUGCUAGGUGGUUUAGAGCGGCCUCGGGUCGCUAGUUGAUUUCAGACACCGUCAAAUUGCGGGGACGUCUUGCCUUGCUCCGGGUACCGUCCAAGGCUCGAAAGGGUACUUGGGCACCUAACAAUUGGUUAGGGGCGUGGUAAAACCACCGGAGAAGCGGGUGACCUGCAGCCAAAUCCGUAGCCGGCUACGGAUGCAGUUUACAGGCCAUAAGUCGGUGGGUGCGGGUACGUCCCGCACCUAAGAUAUGGUCGAAGGUACCCGGACACGGGUACGCUCAGGAGGAGCUAGUAGCUGGUUCCUGCCGAAGUUUCCCUCAGGAUAGCAGUAACGAUUUCAGUUUUNUGAGGUAAAGCGAAUGAUUAGAGGCCUUGGGGUUGAAACAACCUU
rnacentral:rRNA from 1 species